UACGGAGGGUGCAAGCGUUGCUCGGAAUUAUUGGGCGUAAAGGGUAGGUAGGUGGUCUCAUUUGUCUGGGGUGAAAGCCUUGAGCUUAACUCAAGAAGUGCCCCAGAAACGGUGAGACUGGAGUCCUGGAGAGGGUCGUGGAAUUCCCGGUGUAGCGGUGAAAUGCGUAGAGAUCGGGAGGAACACCAACGGCGAAGGCAGCUCGCUGGGACGGUACUGACGCUGAGGCGCGAAAGCGUGGGGAGCGAACAGG
rnacentral:rRNA from 1 species